rnacentral:lncRNA from 1 species
GCAAAGGGAUUUCCCCGUGUUUGUUUAAAGUGUGAAGAAGCCGCGAUGGCUGGGAUUGUCCGUUUAUGUGUCUCUCCGUUCCUGGGGGUGCACUGUGCAGCUAGAGGGUAGCUGUGCAUUGUGUAGGUUUUGUUGAAAUUUGCUGGGUGACCCAAGCUGGGCUUUGGGAAACAAAGUAGUGAGCAAGGGGGCCUCACUCGGCUGGACAGCGGUUUCGGUGUUCUUGUUCGGGAUAGAAGCCUAGGAAUAACCGUCCCACUUCCCAGGAAACAGACGGCGGAAGACUAGCGUGGCCCAAAGGUGGGCAGCUAGUGCUUGCCACAAUGUGGCCUCUGCCCCCAGCAAAAGUGCAGUGUUCUUCGCGCGGAGCUGUGCACAAACUGAAGUUGGGCAGUUCCGUUCCUAGCCCGUCGCCUGGUGUCUGGAGCAUUUAUGUUAAUUUUAUGUUAAAGAAGGCACCCCUACUUUACUGUAGUGCAACCUGCUACCAGCUCUUCGGUUACCAAAUUUCGGGCUUUUCAGAGCUUUGC